rnacentral:rRNA from 1 species
UAACGAAUCUUCCACAAUGCGCGAAAGCGUGAUGGAGCAAUGCCGCGUGCAGGAUGAAGCCCUUCGGGGUGUAAACUGCUGUCAGGGGUUAGCAACACAAUGAGCAGCCCCAAAGGAAGAGACGACUAACUCUGUGCCAGCAGUCGCGGUAAUACAGAGGUCUCGAGCGUUAGACGGAUUCAUUGGGCUUAAAGCGUACGUAGGCGGGCGUGCAGGCGUCGUGUGAAAGCCCUCGGCUCAACCGGGGAAUUGCACGGCGAACCGCACGUCUUGAGACAAGUAGGGGCGGCCGGAACGAUAGGUGGAGUGGUGAAAUGCGUUGAUAUCUAUCGGAACGCCAAUGGUGAAGACAGGCCGCUGGGCUUGUUCUGACGCUGAGGUACGAAAGCGUGGGGAGCGAACGGGAUUAGAUACCCCGGUAGUCCACGCCGUAAACGAUGUGCACUAGAUCGAGGAGGUUCUGAUACUUUCUCGGCCGAAGUAAAACGUU